rnacentral:tRNA from 1 species
GGGGCGUUAGCUCAGUCGGUUAGAGCAGGGGACUCAUAAUCCCUUGGUCGCUGGUUCGAGUCCAGCACGCCCUACCA